GCACGCGCCUGCGCUCGCUCGCCUCCUGCUUGCGCCCCCUGUGCCCCCAACAGGAGGAAGGUCUGGCGGCGGCUGCACCUGCUGUGCCCAAACUCACAGUCCAGUGGCCUUUCCCAGAGCCCCUGCGGUGCCAUGCACAAAUGGGGAUCUGUCCAGAGAGGCACAACCAGGCUCUAAAAGGAACCUUGGCUGGCCAGGAUGGUGAUUUGGGGCUGCAGCAGGCACACCCUCCUCUUGCAUGGUCUUAGUUGGCCCUAUUUGCCACCCCCCUUGCUUUCUAGCAUCCUGGGCUGGAAGAGUUCCCACCUACAGCAUCUGGUAGGCAGAGACCACAUCUCACCCAUGCAUAGGGAGGCCAUGUAUGGCCUAGGGUAAGAUCCGUCAGUCAAUUAUCUGUUUCCAGGUCCUGCUGUGAAAACCCCUCUCAAUACCCAACUGAGCAAUUACAAAGGAAGUGUGCCAGCCAAAGGGAAGAAAUGAAUAGUCACAGGGCACACUUACACAUUCCUUAGUUUUCUGCUCCCUCCUCACCUACCUCAUACUUCUCAUCUCUUCCAUCUUCUCAUAACCAGAAAGAAGUGACAUUGAAACCCUAGCAGAUGUGGGCGCUGGCAUUUCUAGUUCUUCCCCAUGCUGCAGAAAGGUGUUGGUCUUUAAUAGGGAGAGCUAAAUGUGACUGACAAGUUUGUAAACUUGAGUUAAGGAUGUCACAGCCAAGCUCUUCGAGGCCUCACAAACUGUAACCCUGUUGGUGUUUCUUCCCUAUCGUGUGGUAACUAACUUGUUGAGAGACCAUAUGAAUGGAUGUCCAUCAGCAUCUCUGCCAGCCCAGAGAGUCCUCACAACAUUCUCCCACCAAGUGACUCUACUUGGAUACUCGGAAGAAGAAGGAACUCGCUAACUCUUAAGGCCGUUCGUCGAUAGUGCAGUUGGGACCCUACUCACCAGCCGGUUGAAGGACUCCUCGGAGUGCAUCCUGGCUUGUCUUGAGCCUUUCUAAAUGAGAUUCUCAGAAUGGAACGGCGACCUGGUGCUGAGAAGAAUAUCACAAUGAAACAAAGUGCCACAAAGAGACAGCAUCCAUCGACGAUCAGUACCAAAGAGAAGAGGAGGCGUGGCCAACUUUCUACUAUACAGAACACUACCCAUAAUAAAAUUUGUCUCCAAUACAAAUGAAGUGGAACAGAAGAUACAGUAAAUAUGAUCUGAAAGUCUCUCAAGACAUUGUUUGGCAUCACCUACAUAAAAUAUCCUUGUAGCGAUUGGGGAGGGCCCAGAGAUGCCUGAAUGAUGAGCAGGGAAUCACUCAGAAAUUCAGACAUUGCUCGUCCUCACUCCGCGCAUUGGGCAUCAUUUGGUAUCAUUCAGGGAGAAGAGAGAGACUCACUUUCCCAAAGUGAGUACAUGAGAGACAGUCUUCUGGGAAAGCCAGGCGGAUGGGAACUCAACCAGCAGGGAUGCUUACAGCACUUAGCCGAACCCGAACUCGCAAAGUCUUCCUCUCUACUGUAUUCACAGGCAACGGGACUCUCUGCCUGGAACACCCAAAGAAAAUCAGCGCAUUGUUAGAAGGAAUUAGUUCAGCAAGACGUCCAAAUACAAGAUCAAUUUGUAAAAUCCAACCGUUUACAUCAGCAGCAAAUAAGCAGGAAGGAGACAGUGAGACACGUCUCAUACUCACAGCAUCUGGGGUUAACCUAACAACUUUUCAGAACUUUAUGGAGAAGCUCUUAAAACUCUAUUAAAGGACAUUAAAAAAAAAAAAAAAAAAAAAAAAGACUGAACAGAUGAAGAAAUAGGCCAUUGUCGGGAUGGCUUCACACUGUCAAAAUGUCAAGCUGAUCUCUAGACUCAGUAUUUGGUUAUAACUAAAAUUUUAAGGUGUUCAAUAAACAUAAAAUACGUAAGACAAAUAUAACUUUAAAUAGGACAAAUGUCUAAAAGCAAGACCAAAAGAAGGAGAUUUGCUAUACUAGAAAUUAUGUCUUUACUAUAUCAUAAUAAAAAUUAUUGGAUGCUGCUCUAGAAAUAAACAGAAAAAUGACCUAGAAGGUAGAGCCCUGGAUAAGCAUGUCCUUGGUAUACAUAAAAGUGAUACCACAGCCAAUGAUUUGAAAAAAUAUGAAUUAUAUAUAGGACAGAGUUAGUCAAACAGUCUUAUUUAAUAAUGGAAACAAAAAGGAAAAGAAAGUGAGGGAGAUGCUGGAAAUCUGCUGUAAGAAUGUAUUCCUAAUGCACACUGGGCUCCCGGGGGCACAAGUGAACUUGUUAUGCUGGAGGGCCUGGGGUCAGUGACAGAGAUGAUGGAGGAAAUGCCGUAGAACAACUUCAUCUGUUCCUAUCAGGAAAUAGGACUAACAAAGAACCAUACACAUUUGUAAAUCCUUACAAAAUUCCUCCACUGAGUGGCCACAGGUAACCUCCAAUAAAAAGAAGUGGAGAGACACAGCUCAGCAGUCAAAAGUGCAUUCUGCUCUUGCAGAAGACCUGAGUUUGGUCCCUGCAUCCAAGAAAGACCAGCUUACAGCCGCCUAUAACUCUAGCUCCAUCAGAUCCAAUGCCCUCUUCAGGCCUCGGUGGGUACUGCACCAUGCAUAUACCCAAAUGCAGAUACACAUUUCAAGAUACUUUUUUAAAAAGAAAAAUGAAAAGAUGUGACAAACUGAAAGAAGUUUGUGACAUGUAUAAACAUAGCUAGGAAUUAGUACCUAAAGCAACAAAAAUCAGUCGAAAAACUAACAAAAAAAUGAGGAAAGGGUAACAGUAGACAGUUGACUGGGGAUGUGUCUUGGUUUCCUUCCCUGUUGCUGUGACAAAAUACUUUGACAAACACAACUUAAGAGGGAAAGGAGUUAUUUUAGCUCACAAUUCAAAGAUCCAUCAUCCCAGGGAAGUCAAGGCAACAGAGCUUGAAGCAGCUGGUCACAUGACAUCCCACUCAAGAAGUAAGAGAUGAAUGCUGACACUAGCUCCCUUUCUCUAUUUUAGAAUCUACUGCCUGGAGAAUGGCUCUGCCCACAGGUAGGUAGGCUCUCCCACAUCAGUUAGCAUCUUCAAGAUAGGCAUGCCCUGUAGGCAUCUUGUAGGCAUGCCCAGAGACCUUGCCAAGCAAUUCGAGAUGCUAUAGGAUAGAAAAUUAACAUGGUGGCUGAGAAAAGGCCUCCUUAAGAUUGGGCUGUAGGUAAGCCUGAAGAGCAUUUUUUUUAUUAUUGAUAAUUUAUGUGGGAGGGGCCCAGACCACCAUGGUCAGUUCCACCCCUUGGCUGGUGGCCCUGGGUUCUAUAAGAAAGCAGGCUGAGCCAAUGAUGAAGUGCAAGCCAGAAAGCAGCAUCCCUCCACAGCUUCUGCAUCAGCUCCUGCCUCCUGGUUCCUGCCCUGCUUAAGUUCCUGCCCUCACUGCUUUUGAUGAUGAACUGUGAUAUGGAACUGGGAGGGAAAUUAACCCUUGCCUCCCCAAGUUAUCUUUCAACCUGGUACCAUCACAGCAACAAUAACCCCAACAAAGACACACAGGCUAUCUAGACUGUCCAAAGAAAAGCCCAGAAUGACAAGCAGUGGGAUGGGCAAGAAAUAAAAACAAUCACAAAAUGUCCAGGAAGUGGGUGGACUUAGAAUGUAUAAGUCACCCUGUCUCAGAAAGAAAGAAAAAAUAAACCACAUGUUCUCUCUC